GUGGUGACUGUCACUAGUCACCACCUCCCUCACUUUGUCCCUAGUCACUCCUCCCUCUGUCACUAGUCACACCCUCCCUCACUCUCUCACUAGAGUGAGGGGGUGACUAGUGACAGAGUGAGGGGGUAACAGGUGACAGAGUGAGGGAAGGGGUGAAUAGUGACAGAGUGAGAGAGGGGGUGACUAGUGACAGAGUGAGGGAGGGAGUGGGUGACUAGUGACAGAGUGAGGGAGGGUGGGACUAGUGACAGAGUGAGGGAGGUGGUGACUGUCACUAGUCACCACCUCCCUCACCCUGUCACUAGUCACCACCUCCCUCACUCUGUCACUACUCCCUCCCUCUUUCUGUCACUAGUCACCCCCUCCGUCCCUUACUCUGUCACUAGUCACCCCCUAACUCACUAUGUCACCAGUCAUCCCUUCCUUCCCUCACUCUGCCACUAGUCACCCCUUCCCUCACUCUGUCACCAGUCAUUCUCUCACUCUAGUGA